UGGUUGAUAAAAAUUACUCCAAGCUUG
rnacentral:piRNA from 1 species